rnacentral:rRNA from 1 species
UACGGGGGGGGCAAGCGUUGUUCGGAAUUACUGGGCGUAAAGGGCUCGUAGGCGGCCCUCCUAGUCGCGUGUGAAAGCCCCGGGCUCAACCUGGGAAUUGCGCGCGAAACGGGGGGGCUUGAGUUCGGGAGAGGAGCGUGGAAUUCCCAGUGUAGAGGUGAAAUGCGCAGAUAUCGGGAGGAACACCUAUGGCGAAGGCAGCUCGCUGGGACGUUACUGACGCUGAGACGCGAAAGCGUGGGGAGCGAACAGG